ACAUGAGAGUCUCCAACGGAAACCCCUCUGUACACACUGCAAAUCAAAGCGAAGACAUGUGUUUUUCCACAUGCUUUCAACAGACAGGAAGGGAUGGACUGAGACAAAGGCCCAGUCUGUCAACAUGCAUAAGGACUCCGACCGAGAAGUCGAGUUUGGAUCGCAGUAACAGCCGCAGAACCAGGACCUCAUGAGACAGGAAACGGCUUGGGAUAGCAGCAGGGCUCGUGGGAAGUGGCUCAUUAACCUGGAUUCCAACAAAGCCUUGCAGGGCACCAUGUUGAUUGGUAAAGAUAAGAGAGAUCUACAGCCGGACUCACAUUUCAUGUCACAGUUAGCACAGCUUUGAGAAGGAAGAGCCGGCUGGCAAAGUGCAAGUUCCCCCCAGCGAGCGGUGGCGAGGAGGGGGACGGCGAACAUGCCAACAAGAUCUCAAGCAGAGUUCCUUUCACCGACGAACACUCUGGAGAUCCAGUGCACGGUCCAUUGGACACCAAACACCAAUAGGAGCUCAGUUUGGACAGUAUGAUUUUCUUUGAGUACAAAACUCUUGGUAGCAGUCCGAGGGACUCUGGGAGCAUACAUCAUCUGGCAAGCUGCUGGGUAAAUUCUGCUUUUCUCCAUCAUUUUUUCCACUGUGAGAAACAGCUUGAAUCUCUGCUGUCUUCCAAUGGCCUGAGGGACAAGCUGCCUGUUUAUGCUCGGAUGACUCGGUUAAAAAACUGAAAAGCUCUCAUAAAUAUUUGCAUCAGCUGUAAAUAAAUGUUCUCCAAGGAUUACUGCCAAUGCUACAAUGGGUGUACACUCACUUCUCUUGGUUAAAAUUCCCACUCUACUCAGCUGUUUCUUCUGGUGAUUUUUACUCAUCCUACAUUUUUGGAAAGUU